GAUGAAGAACGCAGCAAAAUGCGAUAAGUAAUGUGAAUUGCAGAAUUCAGUGAAUCAUCGAAUCUUUGAACUCACAUUGCGCCCGCUGGUAUUCCGGCGGGCGUGCCUGUUCGAGCGUCAUUUCAACCCUCAAGCCCCCGGGUUUGGUGUUGGGGAUCGGCUCUGCCCUUCUGGGCGGUGCCGCCCCCGAAAUACAUUGGCGGUCUCGCUGCAGCCUCCAUUGCGUAGUAGCUAACACCUCGCAACUGGAACGCGGCGCGGCCAUGCCGUAAAACCCCAACUUCUGAAUGUUGACCUCGGAUCAGGUAGGAAUACCCGCUGAACUUAAGCAUAUCAAUAAGCGGAGGA
rnacentral:misc_RNA from 1 species